rnacentral:rRNA from 1 species
UGAGGAAUAUUGGUCAAUGGGCGCAAGCCUGAACCAGCGACGCCGCGUGAGUGAUGAAGGCCUUCGGGUUGUAAAGCUCUGUGGGGAGGGAAGAAAAAAGAAAGUCAAAUAGGCUUUCAGAUUGACUGUACCUCCUUAGCAAGCACCGGCUAACUCUGUGCCAGCAGCCGCGGUAAGACAGAGGGUGCAAACGUUGCUCGGAAUUACUGGGCGUAAAGAGCGUGUAGGCGGUCUGGUAAGUCGGUUGUGAAAUCCCUGGACUCAAUCCAGGAACUGCAUCCGAAACUAUCAGACUUGAGUAGUGGAGAGGGAAGUGGAAUUCCUGGUGUAGAGGUGAAAUUCGUAGAUAUCAGGAGGAACACCGGUGGCGAAGGCGGCUUCCUGGACACUGACUGACGCUGAGACGCGAAAGCGUGGGGAGCAAACAGGAUUAGAUACCCCCGUAGUCC